rnacentral:rRNA from 1 species
UGGGGAAUUUUGGACAAUGGGCGCAAGCCUGAUCCAGCAAUGCCGCGUGCAGGAUGAAGGCCUUCGGGUUGUAAACUGCUUUUGUACGGAACGAAACGGCUCUGUCUAAUACAUGGGGCUAAUGACGGUACCGUAAGAAUAAGCACCGGCUAACUACGUGCCAGCAGCCGCGGUAAUACGUAGGGUGCAAGCGUUAAUCGGAAUUACUGGGCGUAAAGCGUGCGCAGGCGGUUCUGCAAGUCUGAUGUGAAAGCCCCGGGCUUAACCUGGGAACAGCAUUGGAGACUGCAGAGCUAGAGUACGUCAGAGGGGGGUAGAAUUCCACGUGUAGCAGUGAAAUGCGUAGAUAUGCGGAGGAACACCGAUGGCGAAGGCAAUCCCCUGGACCUGUACUGACGCUCAUGUACGAAAGCGUGGGGAGCAAACA